rnacentral:tRNA from 1 species
GCCCAGCUAGCUCAGUCAGUAGAGCAUAGGACUCUUAAACUCAAGGUCAUGGGUUCCAGCCCCAAACUGGGUG